rnacentral:lncRNA from 1 species
GGCUUCUCUGGUGGGGAGAGGGUCCAGAAAGUCUUAAAUAACUUUUUUUUAAGAAAAAUAAAAUAUAACCCCACCACAAAACAGACAAGAACAGCAGAGAAAUUUGUGUCCACCGUCUUCAAGACUUAGGAAAUGAGCAUCAUCAAAGAACAAACAAAAAAGUCCACAGCUCAAGUGUCAACAAGAGGCUUGAGCGGUGGGAAUUUCUGUUCUUAAGAUAUGGGAUCAGAAAAGAAGAUCCAGUUCUGCUCAUUAGACAUCAGAUGAGAAAGUAGGUGCAUAUUUUGUUUUGUGUUUGCAUUGUCAUGUUCAGUGGA